AGCUCAGCGGGACUCCAUCGACGCCAUAAGCAUGUUUCUGGGUGGCUUGCUGGCCACCAUCUUCCUGGACAUCGUGCACAUCAGCAUCUUCUACCCGCGGGCCGGCCUCACGGACACGGGCCGCUUUGGCGCGGGCAUGGCCAUCCUCAGCUUGCUGCUCAAGCCGCUCUCCUGCUGCUUUGUCUACCACAUGUACCGGCAGCGCGGGGGUGAGCUCCUGGUCCACACCGGUUUCCUUGGGUCUUCUCAGGACCGUAGUGCCUACCAGACGAUUGACUCAGCAGAGGCGCCCGCCAAUGCUUUUGCAGUCCCAGAGGGCAGGGGUCAAGAUGCCCGAGGCUGAGCCUUCCACAUGAGGAAGCCAGAGAAAUUGCCCCACCGGAGGUCACUGCCUUCUCCUGUUGGCCAGAACUGGACCAGAGCUGCAGUACCUACAGGGCCCCACCUCAGGCCGGUUCUCAGAGUCUCCAGAAUGGCCUGGAAAUGCCAGCUCUCACAGUGUGUCUCUAAACGGGCUCUGGAGUCAGUGAGCCUUGGUUUAAAUCCCCUAUGCACUCUGUAACUGGCUGUGUAAAAGACACUAUCUCUUAACCUCACUGUGCCUCAGCUUCCUCAUCUGAAAUUGGGGACAAUAAUAGUGCCUGACUUGGGUAUUAGUGAGGACUGAAAAUGGUGCAACAUCAGUGUUUAAUAAAUGUUAGAUCUCAUUAUCUGUA
rnacentral:sRNA from 1 species